rnacentral:rRNA from 1 species
ACUGAAUAGAUACCCGGGUAGUCCUGGCCCUAAACGAUGAAUGCUUGGUGUAGCGGGUAUCGAUCCCUGCUGUGUCGAAAGCUAACGCAUUAAGCAUUCCGCCUGGGGAGUACGGUCGCAAAGGCUGAAACUCAAAGGGAAUUGACGGGGCCGCACAAGCGGUGGAGCAUGUGGUUUAAUUCGACGCAACGCGAAGAACCUUACCCUAGGCUCGAACGGCAUUGGGCAUCUCCCGAAAGGGAGCUUCCGCAAGGACCGGUGGUCGAGGUGCUGCAUGGCUGUCGUCAGCUCGUGUCGUGAGAUGUUGGGUUUAAG